rnacentral:rRNA from 1 species
GAUGAACGCUGGCGGCGUGCCUAAUACAUGCAAGUCGAGCGAACAGACGAGGAGCUUGCUCCUCUGACGUUAGCGGCGGACGGGUGAGUAACACGUGGAUAACCUACCUAUAAGACUUGGAUAACUUCGGGAAACCGGAGCUAAUACCGGAUAAUAUAUUUAACCGCAUGGUUCAAUAGUGAAAGACGGUUUUGCUGUCACUUAUAGAUGUAUCCGCGCCGCAUUAGCUAGUUGGUAAGGUAACGGCUUACCAAGGCAACGAUGCGUAGCCGACCUGAGAGGGUGAUCGGCCACACUGGAACUGAGACACGGUCCAGACUCCUACGGGAGGCAGCAGUAGGGAAGCUUCCGAAAUGGGCGAAAGCCUGAAGGAGCAACGCCGCGUGAGUGAUGAAGGGCUUCGGAUCGUAAAACUCUGUUAUGAGGGAAGAACAAAUGUGUAAGUAACUAUGCACGUCUUGACGGUACCUAAUCAGAAAGCCACGGCUAACUACGUG